GAUCGCGGCGACGUGGGCGGUUCGCUGCCGGCGACGUCGCGAGAAGUCCACUGAACCUUAUCAUUUAGAGGAAGGAGAAGUCGUAACAAGGUUUCCGUAGGUGAACCUGCGGAAGGAUCAUUGUCGAUACCUUACGAGCAGCAUGACCGGUGAACUUGUUUUGUGAGACCCCGGGGGGGCACACGGCGUUCGUCGCCUUGGGCCUCCCGUGCCGAGAUGUGCCUCGGGCUGAUCCCCGCCGGCUCUCUCGGCAGAACAACGAACCCCCGGCGCCGAACGCGCCAAGGAAUAUGAUUUCAUGGUCGUCCUCUUGUCGUCCCGGAGACGGUGACGUGCAACGAGUGACGCACGAUUUGUAUCCAUAACGACUCUCGGCAACGGAUAUCUCGGCUCUCGCAUCGAUGAAGAACGUAGCGAAAUGCGAUACUUGGUGUGAAUUGCAGAAUCCCGUGAACCAUCGAGUCUUUGAACGCAAGUUGCGCCCGAAGCCAUCAGGCCGAGGGCACGUCUGGCUGGGUGUCACACAGCAUUGCCCCAACCCCAACGCCCAUCACGCGGCGGCGGGGGCGGGGCGGAUGAUGGCCUCCCGUGAGCUUGGCCUCGCGGAUGGCUGAAAUAAGAGUUCGCAGUGCGGUCAGCACCACGGCGCACGGUAGUUGAGUAACACUCUGGCCCGGUCGUGCGUGCUCUGCCCCUUAAUGCGUAUCUCUGAGACCCUAUCGCGUCCAAGGACGCUUCGGAUGCGACCUCAGCUCAGGCGGGGCUACCCGCUGAGUUUAAGCAUAUCAAUAAGCGGAGGAAAAGAAACUAACAAGGAUUCCCCUA
rnacentral:rRNA from 1 species